rnacentral:rRNA from 1 species
GACGAACGCUGGCGGCGUGCCUAAUACAUGCAAGUAGGACGCAGUUGCGAACGGGUGAGUAACGCGUAGGUAACUACCUAUUAGAGGGGGAUAACUAUUGGAAACGAUAGCUAAUACCGCAUACUAGUAGAUGGACCUGCGUUGUAUUAGCUAGUAGGUAGGGUAAUGGCCUACCUAGGCAACGAUACAUAGCCGAACGGGGAGUGGUAUUGGCACAACGUGGACUGGGAAACGGCCCAGAAUCCUACGGGAGGCAGUAGUAGGGAAGAUUCGGCAAUGGGGGGAACCCUGACCGAGCAACGCCGCGUGAGUGAAGAAGGUUUUCGGAUCGUAAAGCUCUGUUGUUAAGGAAGCGGUACUUAACCAGAAAGGGACGGCUAACUACGUUCCAGCCGCCGCGGGAAUUC